UAUUUGCAUUAAAACAGAAAGCCGGCUUCCCAUCGAUCGUUCUUUUAAGGGACUAGAAACGAUUAAUUUGAUUCGCAAGGCUAAUAUCAAUUGCCCUAAUUUGUAUUUAUAAUAUUAUGAUUGGUUCUUUGCACAUUAAUAUAUUAGCAAGUCUAGUGUAAUUGUGUGGGCUGAAUAGCAAUUAGCUUUCUCACCUUUGCUGACAAAACAUUUGAACGUACAGGACAUAUAAAGUAUUGAAACAAAGACAAAGAACAAUACAAGGAACCAAAGACUGAUGCUCUCAACUUCUCCCAAUUGAAGCAGAGAUUAUUGUUUUUUAUAUCAGUUUUUUAUAUACUCUCUUUUUAGAACGAUGAGCAUACGAAAAAGAAAAGAAAGCGUAAAACAAACGACGUUUUAAACUUUCAGUUUAUUUAUGAUUUCACACGACACGACCAUACAUAUCCACAAGUUAAGAACGGAAAUAUUUGCUUAGCAAUAAUGCAAUAUUUGGCUGGACCCGUCAAAGCGUUACUCCUCGUGAGAGCCACGUGGAAGACAAAGAAGCGGCUACAAAGACUUUAGUCAGUGAUUCUUAACAAGGCUUACUUGCUUUUGUUUUAGCAUUUAGUUGCCUUGGUAAAUUUCCCACCUGUAAAAUCCUCUGAUAAGCUCAGUUGGGCCAUAUAUUGAUAAAUACAAUGAGAGCCAUUCGGCAGGAAAAACUUAAUUUCACCUGCUUACCAUAUAUGGUCACUAUUUAUAAGGUGUAUCCAUAGGAAACGUUAUAAAGCUUCAGCUGUGUCAAUUUCGAGCAACGCCUUCGUCAUUACGAAAGAGAACACGCUGCUGUCAAGUUGUUUUUCGCUUAGUCGUCAAGAAAGAACAACAUCUAGUCACAUCAAGAUGGUUAAACAAGUGCUCGUCCUUACUUGUAUCAUGUUUUGUAUCCUAAGACAGGCGGUUAAUGCCAACUCAACUUCAGAAAUAUCGAUGUCCUCUACUGUGACUCCAUCCAAAGCUGUAUCAAACUCUUCGAUGAAAUAUUCGGCGGUAACUCCAUCACAUAUAGCACCGUCAACAGGGACUCCGACUGGCUCUUCACCGACAAUAUAUAAUUCUACAUCUGUAAUGAUACAAGAAGCGUCGUCGAUGUCAUCAUUUCAGGCAAAUAUGAGUGUUAGUGCUAGCCCUACGAUGAUGAUCACGUCAAGUUCAAGUGAUGCUAGCUCCUUCUUGCCCUUCUUUUGCAACUUCAUUGUUGCGUUUCUUGCUGUAAUUCUCUUGACUAUUGUCUAAACGUCCAUAUGAUCUCGACGAAAAGAAAAUCAAUCGAAGCACUUAUUUGAGGAUUGUUAUACCAAGAGACCGACUUUCAUAUACCUAAGACGAAAAUAUCUAAUAACAGUAGUUGAUGUAAUUCUGCAGGAUUAGAAAAAUUAGGGGAAAAAGAACUAUUCAAAUCUAUGUCCGCGGUUAUGUAUUUAUUAUGUAUUAAUUUAAGAUGUAUAUAUGCAUUUUCGUCGUCAGCUAUAUAGCUGGCGUGCAUCUGCGUUUUAUAGCUACUCUAGUAUUUUUUCUGUAUACGGCUCGCCUGUGAAUGAAUUGUAUGAUAAGUUCUUGAUUAUAAUAAUUUGUAUGAGACAAGUAAGACGUUCAUUUAAUAUCUAUAAUAUUAUGUUAGAAAAAUAUACCGUAUUGAUUAUUUAGUUCUGAUGCAUGUUUCUCGAUAGAAUAUUCGUGCAACAGUGUUCGCAGUGGUCGAUUAUUCCUGAUAGCAAACUCGAAUGUUAUUAUAUGUUUGAAAUACAUCGAAUUUCGUGGAAUUUGUGUACAAAAUUAUUAUUGUGCAUCGAAAAUAUUUUAACACCCUCGGAGACUUCAAGUCAAUUGUUUUCCGUAUUUUUUGUCAUGUUAGAUGGGUACCUAUACAGCUGGUUUAAUCUUUCGCAAUAUCAAGAAUGUUUUCAAAAAAGUCCUUGGUUUCUAGGAUCAUUUAUUGAUUCAAAACUUUGCCGACGAUUAUAUUGGACAGAGUGCUUGUCAUUGACAGGCUUGUUAUGGAAAGGAACGGAAGUAUUUUUUGAUAUUCCCAAAAGGACACCCACAGUGAAAGACUAUUCUGAAAAUGUAAGUCAUGAUAUAAUUUUACAGACAUGUUUUUAACAAUUGUGUACAACUUCAACUGAUAGUAUA